AUUAGACACUGCCACCAACCAGAUCGGAGGUCCAGCGACAAAAGAAAAAAAGACCCACAAAAUUACACAGUAACGCCAAAUCAAAUCGAAGAAGAAGUAGAAGAAGAAGAGGAAAUGAGAGAGCUCGGAAAAACCAAACCAAACCCUAUGUCAGUUUGGAAUUUUCGAGUACUUCUUCUUCGAAUAUCGUGGAAGAAUGACGAGACAAAGAAG
rnacentral:misc_RNA from 1 species